AUUGAACGCUGGCGGCAUGCCUUACACAUGCAAGUCGAACGGCAGCGCGGGGCAACCUGGCGGCGAGUGGCGAACGGGUGAGUAACAUAUCGGAACAUACCCUAGAGUGGGGGAUAACGUAGCGAAAGUUACGCUAAUACCGCAUACGCACUAAGGUGGAAAGUGGGGGAUCUUCGGACCUCAUGCUCAUGGAGUGGCCGAUAUCUGAUUAGCUAGUUGGUGAGGUAAAGGCUCACCAAGGCGACGAUCAGUAGCUGGUUUGAGAGAACGACCAGCCACACUGGAACUGAGACACGGUCCAGACUCCUACGGGAGGCAGCAGUGGGGAAUUUUGGACAAUGGGGGGCAACCCUGAUCCAGCAAUGCCGCGUGAGUGAAGAAGGCCUCGGUUGUAAGACUCUUUGUUC
rnacentral:rRNA from 1 species